rnacentral:rRNA from 1 species
CGGCGAACGGGUGAGUAACACGUGAGCAACCUGCCCCGAAGACUGGGAUAACACCGGGAAACCGGUGCUAAUACCGGAUACCCCCACCAGGCCGCAUGACCAGGUGAGGAAAUGAAUUUCGCUUUGGGAGGGGCUCGCGGGCUAUCAGCUUGUUGGUGGGGUAACGGCCUACCAAGGCGACGACGGCUAGCUGGUCUGAGAGGACGACCAGCCACACUGGGACUGAGACACGGCCCAG